rnacentral:rRNA from 1 species
AUGAACGCUGGCGGCGUGCCUAAUACAUGCAAGUCGAGCGAACAGACGAGGAGCUUGCUCCUCUGACGUUAGCGGCGGACGGGUGAGUAACACGUGGAUAACCUACCUAUAAGACUGGGAUAACUUCGGGAAACCGGAGCUAAUACCGGAUAAUAUAUUGAACCGCAUGGUUCAAUAGUGAAAGACGGUUUUGCUGUCACUUAUAGAUGGAUCCGCGCCGCAUUAGCUAGUUGGUAAGGUAACGGCUUACCAAGGCAACGAUGCGUAGCCGACCUGAGAGGGUGAUCGGCCACACUGGAACUGAGACACGGUCCAGACUCCUACGGGAGGCAGCAGUAGAGAAUCUUCCGCAAUGGGCGAAAGCUUGACGGAGCAACGCCGCGUGAGUGAUGAAGGUCUUCGGAUCGUAAAACUCUGUUAUUAGGGAAGAACAAAUGUGUAAGUAACUAUGCACGUCUUGACGGUACCUAAUCAGAAAGCCACGGCUAACUACGUG